AUUUUAGUAGCUUAUAAAGUAGUAGCACAGCACUGAAGAUGCUGAGGAGGUAGAAUUAUCCUAAAAUA
rnacentral:tRNA from 1 species